UCUCGACUCCAAAACAAAAACUGAAAAAUGACUGCAGUGACACUUUAAACAAGAAGAAAAGAAGGAUGAGUUCAAAGGAAUUUGAAGUUGGUACGUCUGUUGAAGCAUUUUGGUAUCCAGACAAGUGUUGGUACACUGCAAAAAUACUGAUGAAGACAGGAAAAGGCUAUGAAGUAAAGUACGAUCUUGAUAAAUUUGUCAAAGAUCUCCCUUUGAAAUAUGUAAGAGCAGAAAAGAUAUCUACAGAAUAGACAGAUUUGCUGAAACAAAGGAGAAUGACCAUCAUUGGAGGAUAACUAUGAUGCUAGCCAAAGAGGAGAAAUAUUUGACGAACAUGUGUUUUUUUAUAAUUAUUAUUGUUGUCCCUAUAGAAAUAAUAUAAAAAAAAAUGUUGUAGAUAUUGCGUAGUUGUUAAUAAUUGUCAUAGAAAUAAUCAUAUAGCUACUCUGCGUAAGGAAGUACAGCAGUCACUGUGACAAAUUUGUGGAUUUCUUUAUCAUUUACUUUAACACCAGAAAUUUGCGAAAAAAAAGAAAGCAAUAGAAUAUACCAAUAAUAAACGUUUAACUUUUGAUUCAUUAACCUUAUUAAUUGCAUUUUAAGUUGGGUAGUGAUGUUUAAUGGAUAAAUGAUAGUUAAUAUCAUUGACUUGAAGUUUUCUACCAUUUUAGGUGAAGCGAAUUAGUACCUACAACGUAUAUUUCAAUAUUAAAGACAGAUACACACGGUUCACAAAAUCGUUAGAAAAAUAAAUCUAAUUUCAAAUAAAGUGUUCCAAAGUAAUAUGCAAUUUCACUGUAAUCAAUUAAUAUAGAUCUAAAAACAGAAACAUUUAUAUGAAAUUCAUCUUUAAAUAAAUACUUUGACUUGUAUGGUACACGUUUUUCUUUACCAGAAAUAUGCAUCAUUUCGGGGCUUUUUAUUGUUGAAGGUUCGGUAAGGAUUUUGCUCUUUUUA